rnacentral:rRNA from 1 species
CCUACGGGAGGCAGCAGUGGGGAAUUUUGGACAAUGGGGGCAACCCUGAUCCAGCAAUGCCGCGUGAGUGAAGAAGGCCUUCGGGUUGUAAAGCUCUUUUGUCAGGGAAGAAACGGCGGGGACUAAUACUUCCUGCUAAUGACGGUACCUGAAGAAUAAGCACCGGCUAACUACGUGCCAGCAGCCGCGGUAAUACGUAGGGUGCAAGCGUUAAUCGGAAUUACUGGGCGUAAAGCGUGCGCAGGCGGUUGUGCAAGACCGAUGUGAAAUCCCCGGGCUUAACCUGGGAAUGGCAUUGGUGACUGCACGGCUAGGGUGUGUCAGAGGGGGGUAGAAUUCCACGUGUAGCAGUGAAAUGCGUAGAGAUGUGGAGGAAUACCGAUGGCGAAGGCAGCCCCCUGGGAUAACACUGACGCUCAUGCACGAAAGCGUGAGGAGCAAACAGGAUUAGAUACCCUGGUAGUCCACGCCCUAAACGAUGUCUACUAGUUGUCGGGUCUUAAUUGACUUGGUAACGCAGCUAACGCAUGAAGUAGACCGCCUGGGGAGUACGGUCGCAAGAUUAAAACUCAAAUGAAUUGAACGG